GGACUCAGCAGUGAUAAAAAUUA
rnacentral:piRNA from 1 species